rnacentral:rRNA from 1 species
CCUACGUGAGGCAGCAGUGAGGAAUAUUGGUCAAUGGACGAGAGUCUGAACCAGCCAAGUAGCGUGAAGGAUGACUGCCCUAUGGGUUGUAAACUUCUUUUAUAAAGGAAUAAAACGAGGCACGUGUGCCUUUUUGCAUGUCCUUUAUGAAUAAGGAUCGGCUAACUCCGCUCCAGCAGCCGCGGUAAUACGGAGGUUCCGAGCGUUAUCCGGAUUUAUUGGGUUUAAAGGGAGCGUAGAUGGGUUGUUAAGUCAGUUGUGAAAGUUUGGGGCUCAACCGUAAAAUUGCAUUUGAUACUGGCAAUCUUGAGUACAGUUGAGGUAGGCGGAAUUCGUGGUGUAGCGGUGAAAUGCUUAGAUAUCACGAAGAACCCCGAUGGCGAAGGCAGCUUACUAAACUGUAACUGACAUUGAUGCUCGAAAGUGUGGGUAUCAAACAGGAUUAGAUACCCCAGUAGUC